rnacentral:rRNA from 1 species
UACGUAGGGUCCGAGCGUUGUCCGGAAUUAUUGGGCGUAAAGAGCUCGUAGGCGGUGUGUCGCGUCGGCCGUGAAAACCUGCAGCUUAACUGUGGGCUUGCGGUCGAUACGGGCAUCACUGGAGUUCGGCAGGGGAGACUGGAAUUCCUGGUGUAGCGGUGAAAUGCGCAGAUAUCAGGAGGAACACCGGUGGCGAAGGCGGGACUCUGGGCCGAUACUGACGCUGAGGAGCGAAAGCGUGGGGAGCAAACAGG